rnacentral:rRNA from 1 species
AGAGUUUGAUCCUGGCUCAGAACGAACGCUGGCGGCAUGCCUAACACAUGCAAGUCGAACGUGAUCCAUGACUUCGGUUGUGGUGAAAGUGGCAAACGGGUGAGUAACGCGUGGGAAUCUGCCCAGAGGUAGGGAAUAACCGCGGGAAACUGCGGCUAAUACCCUAUGUGCCCUACGGGGCAAAGAUUUAUCGCCUUUGGAGGAGCCCGCGUCGGAUUAGGUAGUUGGUAGGGUAACGGCCUACCAAGCCUACGAUCCGUAGCUGGUCUGAGAGGAUGAUCAGCCACACUGGGACUGAGAUACGGCCCAGACUCCUACGGGAGGCAGCAGUGGGGAAUAUUGGACAAUGGGGGCAACCCUGAUCCAGCAAUGCCGCGUGAGUGAUGAAGGCCUUCGGGUUGUAAAGCUCUUUCGGCGGGGAAGAUGAUGACGGUACCCGCAGAAGAAGCCCCGGCUAACUUCGUGCCAGCAGCCGCGGUAAUACGAAGGGGGCUAGCGUUGUUCGGAAUUACUGGGCGUAAAGGGCGCGUAGGCGGUGCUGUAAGUCAGGCGUGAAAUCCCCGGGCUCAACCUGGGAAUUGCGUUUGAUACUGCGGCGCUGGAAUGCGGGAGAGGAUGGCGGAAUUCCCAGUGUAGAGGUGAAAUUCGUAGAUAUUGGGAAGAACACCGGUGGCGAAGGCGGCCAUCUGGCCCGUAAUUGACGCUGAGGCGCGAAAGCGUGGGGAGCAAACAGGAUUAGAUACCCUGGUAGUCCACGCCGUAAACGAUGAGUGCUAGACGUCGGGGAGCUUGCUCUUCGGUGUCGCCGCUAACGCAUUAAGCACUCCGCCUGGGGAGUACGGUCGCAAGAUUAAAACUCAAAGGAAUUGACCG